rnacentral:lncRNA from 1 species
GUCAUUCCUGUAGUCACUGAAUCCAGUUUGUGAUUGGUAUUAAAUUCAAGUGCAAUAAAGCUUCAAAAAUUCCUCAGGAAUGUCAUUGUUCUCUGAAAAUAAUUUUUUUAUUGCAAUGUAAGAACUAUGUAGUCAAGUUGCAAAGAAAAUAAACCAAACAAAACCAACCCAACCCAACAACUCUCUCUCUCCCUCCCCCCCCCCCUCCCCCCCCAAAUUCUGUUUCCUAUUUGAGCCCAACCUGUAGUGUACUCCUGGCAUGUCUUACAAGCCAGUAAUUUCUGUGAAAAACAACAGUCCAUAAGAUCACUCCUCUUUUCAAACGUUACCUGAAGCUCCAAAGGAGGCUUCUCGACUACUUUUAAAAUAGAGCUAAAACCUGUGUUGGUAUCCACAGCGUUUGAGUAGUCUGGUUUUAAUAGAAACAUGAAAACACCAUAUGGAGCCAGACAACCAUUUCCUUCCUUCAGUGUGUUUGGAAGAAAAUCCUGAUUAUCUCCUGGGAGAACCUGCUGCCUUGCAGGGAGAGGGACUACUUUCAAGUGUGACCCUCUUACCACCCAUGAAACCAUUUAGAUACAGAUCUUCCAGCCUGCGUCUCAUCAGGGAAGGCACUGCAUGAUGAAUGUGGAGUGUGGAUAUGGGACCAGAUCCUAUUCCAUGAAGUGAAUGAGAUGGGAUGGUGAAAGAAGGUGAUGCAUCAGUGACGUAACCCCAGCCUUGCCUCUAGCUCCUCUUGAGAGAAAUAAGAGCAACAUGCCUUUACAGGUAGCACUUGAGAAAAAACACAAAACAGAGAGUGGGUAGCACUUCUGAAGCUUGUAUCGUUGAUUCACUGUUUUCCAAGGUGACUUGC